rnacentral:rRNA from 1 species
CGUUGCCCGGAUUUAUUGGGCGUAAAGGGCGCGUAGGCGGCCACGCACGUCCGUUGUGAAAUCGCCCGGCUCAACUGGGCUAGGUCAGCGGAUACGGUGUGGCUCGAGCAAGCUAGGGGGCAAUGGAAUUCCCGGUGUAGUGGUGGAAUGCGUAGAUAUCGGGAGGAACACCAGUGGCGAAGGCGGUUGCCUGGAGCUUUGCUGACGCUGAUGCGCGAAAGCGUGGGGAGCGAUCCGG